GAGUUUGAUCCUGGCUCAGGAUGAACGCUGGCGGCGUGCCUAAUACAUGCAAGUCGAGCGAACAGAUAAGGAGCUUGCUCCUUUGACGUUAGCGGCGGGCGGGUGAGUAUCACGUGGGUAACCUACCCAUAAGACUGGAAUAACUCCGGGAAACCGGGGCUAAUGCCGGAUAAUAUUUAGAACCGCAUGGUUCUAAAGUGAAAGAUGGCCUUGCUAUCACUUAUGGAUGGACCCGCGCCGUAUUAGCUAGUUGGUAAGGUAACGGCUUACCAAGGCAACGAUACGUAGCCGACCUGAGAGGGUGAUCGGCCACACUGGAACUGAGACACGGUCCAGACUCCUACGGGAGGCAGCAGUAGGGAAUCUUCCGCAAUGGGCGAAAGCCUGACGGAGCAACGCCGCGUGAGUGAUGAAGGUCUUCGGAUCGUAAAGCUCUGUUAUUAGGGAAGAACGAAUGCGUAAGUAACUGUGCGCGUCUUGACGGUACCUAAUCAGAAAGCCCGGCUAUC
rnacentral:rRNA from 1 species